rnacentral:rRNA from 1 species
UUACCGUAGUAAAGGCGAGUGAAGCGGGAAGAGCUCAAAUUUAAAAUCUGGCAGUUCCCCUGAGCUGUCCGAGUUGUAAUCUAGAGAAGUGCUUUCCGUGCUGGACCGUGUACAAGUCUCUUGGAAUGGAGCGUCAUAGAGGGUGAGAAUCCCGUCUUUGACAUGGACUACCAGCGCUUCAUGUGAGGCACUCUCAGAGAGUCGAGUUGUGUUGGGAAUGCAGCUCAAAAUGGGUGGUAAAUUCCAUCUAAAGCUAUAAUAUGGGCGAGAGACCGAUAGCGAACAAGUACCGUGGGGGAAAGAUGAAAAGAACUUUGAAAAGAGAGUUAAACAGUACGUGAAAUUGUUGAAAGGGAAACGUUUCAAGUCAGUCGCGUUGGCUGGUAAUCAACCUUUGCAAUCUUGSUGGGCUUACUUUCCAGUCKACGGGUCAGCAUCAAUUUUGACUGUCAGAUAAAGGCGUGGGGAAUGUGGCAUCUUCGGAAUGUGUUAUAGCCCCUUGUCAGAUGUGAUGGUUGGGAUUGAGGAACUCAGCAUGCCUUUAACUGGUCGGGGCCUACAAUGCCACACAGUAACAUGCUCAGGAUGCUGGCAUA